UUCUUGAUCGUAUAACGGUUAGUAUGCUCGCUUGUCAUUACAACUCGCGGGAGAUCGGAGUUCGAUUCUCCGUCAGGAAG
rnacentral:tRNA from 1 species